CCUACGGGUGGCUGCAGUGAGGAAUAUUGGACAAUGGGAGCAAUCCUGAUCCAGCAAUGCCGCGUGUGGGAUGACGGGGCUUUGCCUUGUAAACCACUGUCGGACGGGACGAGAAGAGGUAAGAACCUCUGGGACGGUACCGUCAAAGGAAGGAUCGGCUAACUACGUGCCAGCAGCCGCGGUAAUACGUAGGAUCCGAGCGUUGUCCGGAAUUACUGGGUAUAAAGGGUGCGUAGGCGGCUUUUUGCGUCAGAGGUGAAAUCCACGGGCUUAAC
rnacentral:rRNA from 1 species